CAGUACUAUAGAAGACCUUUACUAAACUCUAAUAUUAAAGGGUUCAUAAUACAGUCAUCCAACACAAACAUCUAGCUAUUCGAGAAAACUAUGCACCAUCUAAAGAAGCAGACUCAGACUCCUUAUGCAUCCAUCUGAAGAAGCAGACUCUUAAUCCAGAACCAUCACCUAAGGAUGACAGAGAAACUCCUCCCACACCUAAUACUCCUCUUCAUUAACUGAUAGUAACAUCAGAGUCUGAUGCUCUACCCCUGCUUAUAAGAAGAUGAAAAGAUAUUAUGCUCUCUAAGUGGAAUCUCGGUGUUAGCCAGAUAUCACUCUACUAGGGGCAUCAUCAUCUUCUCUUACUGAUCAUCAUUAACCUCCUCCUCCUUUGAUUCAUUAUCGUCCUCUGGAUCUCGACCUUCUCGAGGGCCUUAGCUACCCUCCCCAC
rnacentral:lncRNA from 1 species